UACGGGGGGAGCAAGCGUUGUUCGGAUUUACUGGGCGUAAAGGGCUCGUAGGCGGCCAACUAAGUCGGACGUGAAAUCCCUCGGCUUAACCGGGGAACUGCGUCCGAUACUGGAUGGCUUGAGUAUGGGAGAGGGAUGCGGAAUUCCAGGUGUAGCGGUGAAAUGCGUAGAUAUCUGGAGGAACACCGGUGGCGAAGGCGGGUCUCUGGGCCGAUACUGACGCUGAGGAGCGAAAGCGUGGGGAGCGAACAGG
rnacentral:rRNA from 1 species